rnacentral:lncRNA from 1 species
AGCCCUUUUUAAAAGGACAUUUCUGAGGAUCACAGAGGAUUCCCAUUUUCUGUGUGAAUCAAUACUGAAUCUGAGUCUCAACAUGUAGAAUGCAGACUUGUGAUCACAAUGAAUAUUUGCAGCAGUUGAAGGAAGGGAGCCUGUAUCUUCUGACUCCUAGUACUGUGCUUUAACCACAAAACCACUCUGACUCAAAUUGCUGUUUCCACUGUCCUGAUAUAACAGCUGAAAGUACUCCAGAUAAAAAGCUGCAAUAAGCUACAAUAAUCAAGUCAGAAGAUUAAUCACACAGUUUGAACUUAAACGCAGGGCUACCACAAUAAACUUCUUACUAUAAUAAAUAUCCAUUCUUCACAUCACAAAUAAAAUGCCAGAAACAUAUAUAUCAGCUACGCUACCUCCAGACUGCCAAGAUUCAUCAAUAAUUAUUCAGGGAAGUAACCAGCAAAAGGAUUUACCUGAAUCCUUCCUUAUAUGUGUAAUUUGCUGGGUUUUUAUGCACUCAGGAGCACUAGGAAGGAAAAGAAAAACACUGAAGUAGAGAAGGGAUUCUCUGAGACACUUUACCUGAACAAAAAUGCUUAGAGG